UACGUAGGGUGCGAGCGUUUAAUCGGAAUUACUGGGCGUAAAGCGUGCGCAGGCGGUUUUGUAAGCCAGAUGUGAAAUCCCCGGGCUUAACCUGGGAAUGGCAUUGGAAACUGGCGGGCUUGAGUGCGGCAGAGGGGGUGGAAUUCCGCGUGUAGCAGUGAAAUGCGUAGAUAUCGGGAGGAACACCAGUGGCGAAGGCGGCUUCCUGGACCGGUUCUGACACUGAGGAGCGAAAGCGUGGGAGCGAUCCGG
rnacentral:rRNA from 1 species